rnacentral:rRNA from 1 species
GAUGAACGCUGGCGGCGUGCCUAAUACAUGCAAGUCGAGCGAAUGGAUUAAGAGCUUGCUCUUAUGAAGUUAGCGGCGGACGGGUGAGUAACACGUGGGUAACCUGCCCAUAAGACUGGGAUAACUCCGGGAAACCGGGGCUAAUACCGGAUAACAUUUUGAACCGCAUGGUUCGAAAUUGAAAGGCGGCUUCGGCUGUCACUUAUGGAUGGACCCGCGUCGCAUUAGCUAGUUGGUGAGGUAACGGCUCACCAAGGCAACGAUGCGUAGCCGGCCGGAGAGGGUGAUCGGCCACACUGGGCAUGAGACACGGCCCAGACUCCUACGGGAGGCAGCAGUAGGGAAUCUUCCGCAAUGGACGAAAGUCUGACGGAGCAACGCCGCGUGAGUGAUGAAGGCUUUCGGGUCGUAAAACUCUGUUGUUAGGGAAGAACAAGUGCUAGUUGAAUAAGCUGGCACCUUGACGGUACCUAACCAGAAAGCCACGGCUAACUACGUGCCAGCCGCCGCCGUAA